UACGUAGGGUGCAAGCGUUGUCCGGAAUCAUUGGGCGUAAAGCGCGCGUAGGUGGCCUCAUAAGUCCGCUGUGAAAGUCAAAGGCUCAACCUUUGAAAGCCGGUGGAUACUGUGAGGCUAGAGUACGGAAGAGGCGAGUGGAAUUCCUGGUGUAGCGGUGGAAUGCGCAGAGAUCAGGAGGAACACCAAUAGCGAAGGCAGCUCGCUGGGACGUUACUGACACUGAGGCGCGAAAGCGUGGGGAGCGAACAGG
rnacentral:rRNA from 1 species